UGGGAGAGGCAGGGGCCACUCAUUCACUCUGCAAGAGACCAGCAGAGUCCUGAGGGAGAUGCUGACAAAUCAUAAAAAGACAAAGAAUAGCCGGGAGUGGCGGCUCAAGCCUGUGAUCCCAGUACUUUUUGAGAGGUGGAGACAGGAGGAUCACAUGAGCCCAACAGUUGGAGAACAACCUGGGCAACACAGCGAGACCCUGUUUCUACGAAGAUUUCAAAAAUUCGUUGAGCAUGGUGGCAUGUGCCUAGUCCCAGCUCCUCAGGAGGCUAAGGAAAGAGGAUUGCUUGAGCCCAGGAAUUAGAGUGAGCUAUGAUCAUGCCACUGUACUCCAUCCUGGGGAGCAGAGCUGGACUCUGUCUCAGAAAAAAAAAUGUGUGGGUGC
rnacentral:lncRNA from 10 species